rfam:Schistosoma rodhaini strain Burundi genome assembly, scaffold: SROB_scaffold0003238
AUCUAGCUGAUGAGUCCCAAAUAGGACGUAACAUGCGCCCUGGAU